rnacentral:rRNA from 1 species
CUCAAAGGAAUUGACGGACCCGCACAAGCAGCGGAGCGUGUGGUUUAAUUCGAGGCUACACGAAGAACCUUACCAGGGUUUGACAUGCAAGUGGUAGGAAUCCGAAAGGUGACCGACCCUUCGGGAGCUUGCACAGGUGCUGCAUGGCUGUCGUCAGCUCGUGUCGUGAGACGUUCGGUUAAGUCCGCUAACGAGCGCAACCCUCGUCGUGUGUUAUACGUGUCACACGAUACUGCCGGUAUCAAGCCGGAGGAAGGUGGGGAUGAUGUCAAGUCAGCAUGGCCUUUAUAUCCUGGGCUACACACACGCUACAAUGGCAGAUACAAUAGGUUGCGAAACCGCGAGGUGGAGCCAAUCCUCAAAGUCUGUCUCAGUUCAGAUUGUAGGCUGCAACUCGCCUGCAUGAAGUUGGAGUUGCUAGUAAACGCAGGUCAGCUAUACUGCGUUGAAUACGUUCCCGGGGUUU